rnacentral:rRNA from 1 species
GACGAACGCUGGCGGCGUGCUUAACACAUGCAAGUCGAACGAUGAAGAAGAGAAACGCGAACUUCGGUUCAAAUUUCACUUCGGAUUAGUGGCAGACGGGUGAGUAACGCGUGAGCAACCUACCUCUUACAAAGGGAUAGCCUCGGGAAACCGUGAUUAAUACCAUAUGACACAUUCAUAAGGCAUCUUAAGAAUGUUAAAGCUACGGCGGUAAGAGAUGGGCUCGCGUCCCAUUAGCUAGUUGGUGAGGUAACGGCCCACCAAGGCGACGAUGGGUAACCGGCCUGAGAGGGUGAACGGUCACAUUGGAACUGAGACACGGUCCAAACUCCUACGGGAGGCAGCAGUGGGGAAUAUUGCACAAUGGAGGGAACUCUGAUGCAGCGACGCCGCGUGAGCGAUGAAGGAAUUCGUUUCGUAAAGCUCUGUUCUAUGGGAAGAAAAGGACUGUGCCAUAGGAGAAAGCCCCGGCUAAAUACGUG